CUGGGAAUUGAACUCAUGACCUUGCGCUUGCCAGGCAGGUGCUGUGCCACUGAGCUAAAUCUCCAGCCUCUUCUCUGUUCCCCUCUUUCAAGUCAGCAACAUCUAACUUCUGAUUCUAACAGAACACUGGACUCUAACGUAGGGUUUGGACAAAACCCCCAUUUGGGGGAUGCUGCUGGCAUAGCUACCCUGGCUCCUUCUCCUCUCACUCUCCUAUUGUGACAUCACUAUCAUUUCUCUGUUCAACUUCAAAAUAUACACAGUUAGGACAAAUGAAAGAAAAAACAUAAAGCAGGACUCAUACAGAGGAAGUUGGUCUCAGAAGGAAUAUGGCUGACAACGAUAGGACACGAUUACUUAGCCCACAAAGCACAUGAGGCCACGCUGAACACUUCUAGGUCACUUCCACAGACCUGCAGGAACCUGACCCAGCAAGCCGAAGAGGACCUGGCACAAACUGCUACAAGUGUUAAAAUACCUUACAAUGCAUUAGCACCCUGGGCCUGAGGACAGCUCGCGUUAACUACAGCCAUGUACCUACAUCAUCAAAACAGUAUUUAAAAAACUGAAAAGUCUCUCCUAAAACCUCAUGGAGGAGGUUAAAGAAAGAUAACAGCCUGCUAUGCUCACAUCCUGCUUAUUCUGAAGAAAGCCCUGUUUUAAGGAUUGGGCCCGGAGCUCCUGGGAAGGAUUCAUCCUCAUACUCAGGACCAGUGUUCAGAGGGAAUGCCUGUUGUGUAUGUCUGAGGCCUUGGACACCUGCACCAACAUGACCAGAGAUGCUGCUUCUGAAGUCUGCGGAUGAUUCUGAGGUACCGGAAGAUUUGGGAAUCACUGAACUCCAAUGUACUUAUUUCCUAAUGAGAAAACUGAAGCCCAGAGAGGGAAAUGGUUCAGCUGGGGUCACAAAGUGAGUUGACACACAGCCAGGACACCUCUGGUGUGCGUCUCUGCAAAAGACAGAGAAGUGCUGCAAGAUGACCUGCUGAAAUGCACCAACUGGAGUCGCCAAUCUCGGAAGUCACUGGAAGAUCUGCUUCAGUCAAACAAGAGAAUGAAUCAAGAAAGCAGAUGAACCAAGAUGUGGCAAUGAGGGGUUAUCACAAAGCUGCCUCAGCCUGCAAAACACCCAGAAGAGCAGUGGGAUGGAGGACUCACAAGAGAAGGUCUCCAAGAUGCAAAAUACUUGACAUGACAUCAGCUUCUCCAGAGUCUCUGGACUGAAACUUACACCUUGAGUGCUCCUGGAUCUCAGUCCUUUGGACUUGGCCUGAAACUAUACCAUUAGCUCUCCUGGGUCUCCUGCUUGGGACUUCUUGGCCUCCACAAACAUGUAAACAUACUGAGGAAACAUUUUUUUCCUACUGCGGAACUCCACCACUGUAAGGUAGAACUGAUUACAAUGAAAACAUCUGAGAGCUACAU